rnacentral:rRNA from 1 species
CAUUAGCUGGUUGGUGGGGUAAUGGCCUACCAAGGCGACGAUGGGUAGCUGGUCUGAGAGGAUGGCCAGCCACACUGGAACUGAGACACGGUCCAGACUCCUACGGGAGGCAGCAGUGAGGAAUCUUGCGCAAUGGGGGAAACCCUGACGCAGCAACGCCGCGUGAGUGAGGAAGGUCUUCGGAUCGUAAAGCUCUGUCGGGUGGAAAGAAGUGGGGAAAGGUGAACAGCCUUUCUCCUUGACGGUACCACCGAAGGAAGCACCGGCUAACUCCGUGCCAGCAGCCGCGGUAAUACGGAGGGUGCGAGCGUUGUUCGGAAUCAUUGGGCGUAAAGAGCGUGUAGGCGGCUUGGCAAGUCAGAUGUGAAAUCCCUGGGCUCAACCCAGGAAGUGCAUUUGAAACUGCCCUGCUGGAGUAUGGGAGAGGGAAGUGGAAUUCCUGGUGUAGAGGUGAAAUUCGUAGAUAUCAGGAGGAACACCCAUGGCGAAGGCGACUUCCUGGCCCAAUACUGACGCUGAGACGCGAGAGCGUGGGGAGCAAACAGGAUUAGAUACCCUGGUAGUCCACGCCGUAAACGAUGUUCACUAGGUGUUGGGGGUAUUGACCCCCUCAGUGCCGAAGCUAACGCA